rnacentral:rRNA from 1 species
AUUGAACGCUGGCGGCAUGCCUUACACAUGCAAGUCGAACGGCAGCGGACCUUCGGGUGCCGGCGAGUGGCGAACGGGUGAGUAAUAUAUCGGAACGUACCUUUCAGUGGGGGAUAACGUAGCGAAAGUUACGCUAAUACCGCAUAUUCUGUGAGCAGGAAAGCAGGGGAUCGCAAGACCUUGCGCUGAUUGAGCGGCCGAUAUCAGAUUAGCUAGUUGGUGAGGUAAAGGCUCACCAAGGCGACGAUCUGUAGCGGGUCUGAGAGGAUGAUCCGCCACACUGGAACUGAGACACGGUCCAGACUCCUACGGGAGGCAGCAGUGGGGAAUCUUAGACAAUGGGCGCAAGCCUGAUCUAGCCAUGCCGCGUGGACGAUGAAGGCCUUAGGUUGUAAAGUCCUUUCAGAUGGGAAGAUAAUGACGGUACCAUCAGAAGAAGCCCCGGCUAACUCCGUGCCAGCAGCCGCAGUAAAGUAGACG